rnacentral:ncRNA from 2 species
UUUCUGCACUGGGGGUGCCCGAUUUUCGGCUGAGAUGCAAGCGCAAGCUUCGAUCCCUUAUGACUCGAUCCAGGUAAUACUGGCGUGAGGAAGUGCGGUGACUUUCCG